rnacentral:lncRNA from 1 species
GAAGCUUAUCCCUUCCAUACCACUUUUGACAUCCUUGUCGCCCUACCCUAUCCCCUCUGCACGUCACGUCGCUACUACCAUUAAUUUGGCCUUGUCGCCCUGAUCUUUUAACAUACGCUAAUGUGGGAGUAACUCACCCUGUGUGCUUGCCGCUUGGAUGGUGAAGGCCUGAAGUGACCUCUUGACGUCCCCUGAUCGAUCACAUAAGGUAUCUCUGAUUCAAGGAUUUUCAGAGAAUUUUCGGAGCACUGAAAUCCUUAGAAUUUCUGCUCUCGCCCGCUUUGUAGAUGAAGAACGAACCACAGUACACGGCCCAAUGAUAUAUAUUUCAGUUGCUUGAUUCUUCAUAGGAUGAAUUCUCCAUAAAAUUGUCGUACUGGUUUCUCUGAUCGCCCAAGUCAGCUGAAAAUAAUCCAUUCUUUUCUAUGACGCAAUGAAACAACAAGCCAAAUCAUAUAGACCUCGAAUGGGCUUGAUAUUUCAGUCCUACUUCCUCUGUAACCUAAUACAAGAGCGUUUAGAACUAAUGAUCUAAACGCUUUUAUAUUAGUUUAAUUAGUUUAAAGAGGGAGUACGUUAUUAUUUUCUGUUCAUGUAUAGUUUAAAUCCUACUCCGUCCGGUCCUAAAUAUAAGUUUUUUCACGGUCCUAAAUAUAAGUUUUUUUAAACAUUUCAAAUGGAGUACAAACAUAGGGACCUAAAUAUAAGUUUUUUUUAAACAUUUCAAAUGGAGUACAACAUAGGGACGUAUGUAAAUAUAUUUUAGAGUGUAGAUUCACUCUGUAUGUAGUCACUUGUUGGAAUAUUUAGAAAGAGAUAUAUUCAGGAACGAAGGGAGUACAAAUCAAAGAGGCCCUAUAUAUAAGAGAUAAAAAAAAUGGAUCACGAACCCCUUUUGCCGAUAUAGUACUUUUUCAAAACACAAAAUAAGUACAAUAGCACCACUUUACCAACCAUAGUACACAGAUAGGGUCAAGUAUAUAUGGUGCUUGGCAACUGUUAGUACUCUCAAUUAUUAGUUGUACUAUAAUACAUAUGUGCAAUGCACUGCAAAAGAAAAUCCUAGAGAUCGAUUAGAACACACAUGUCAAUGAUCAAUCGGGGCUUUUACUUGCUUGAUCUGCAUGCAUACCUUGGUGCUAUACUAGCAUUGAAAAGGUUAAUCAGGCUUCUCUCCAAUGAGACAGAACACUGGCAUAACUUGUUGUAGGCUAGGAUGGAUAUCACAUGCACCAUGUUCGGUGCUCCCUCUCCCUCUCUUUGCAUGUCAAUGCAACUACCAGCAGCUAGUAAAAGAAUCAAGAAAAAACCUAAGCUCUAGGCGGCCAUUGGUGAUGUGAGCUGGGAUGAGUGGGAUCCCGGAGUACUACAAAGUAGGAUCCAUCCAUCCAUCUUGUCGAUCUCCCUCCCUAGUAGUUUGUUUCCAUUACUAAUUCUCCUGCAACUUGCAUGCAUAUGCAUGUCUCUUUUCCUUUUCGAUCAAUCUGAUAUCUGAUCGGUGCACGUACGGCGUCCCUGGAUCGGUUGAUGAUCAGCCACUGCCGCCGCCGGAGCCGCCGUUGAUGACGCCGUCGUUGCCGAUGUUGAAGGACGGCUCGGGCGGCAGGAAGGGCGGCAGCGCGGUGAGCGAGGUGGAGGAGACCCGCCGGAUGGAGCAGCACCGCAGGAUCCGGCGGCGCUUGUUGAAGGGGUUCUCCGGCUUGGCCAGCACGUCCUUGCUGCUGGUGGUACCGGCCACGGCCACGUCCUGCAGGUUCGCGAACGACCGCGACUUGCCGGAGAAGAAGCCCGACAGCCCCCGCCUGCCAAAUCAAGAACUCGCAGAUUAACCCACCGACCGAACCAAGAAUUCGCCGAUUGUUCUUGCAAGAAUUGGUAGGGUUGUUAAUGGGGAUGAUAAUUCAGGGAAGGGAGGUGAAGCUGGAUAAUUACUUGAUGGGGAGGGCGUCGUCGAGGGCGUCCAGGCUCGCGAGCCCGCCGGUCUUCUUGGUCCUCCUCUGCCACGGCGUCUCCCUGGCGCUCUCCACCUCCUCCCCUUCCUCCUCGUCCCCCUCGGAGACGGGGCCAAUGGAGGACCGCUCGUUUUCCGCCUCGGCCUCCCUCUCCUCCUCUUCCUCCACCGUCUCCAGCACGAACAGCCCGUGGCCCUCACCGCCAAGCCGCCCCCCUUGCACCGCCGCCGCCGCCUCCUCCUCCUCCUCCUCCUCCUGGUAGUGCACGACGUCCUUCCUCUUCCUCGCCCCGCCGCCGCCGCCGCCGCACAUCCCGUACGGUGCCGCCGGGGACGGAGCCACCGGCGCGGGGCCCACGGCGGCCGCCGCAGCCACAACGGACAUCGCGUCCGGCCGUGAAGGGUGCUGCAGCUGCUCUCAUCAAUGGCGCCCGCAGGCCUCGGCGCGCGGCUCAGACGCCCAUGGCCUCGGCCACCAUUGGAGCUGCUAUUAUUGCUCUCGUCGCGAUGGUUCGGAGGACAGAAGGAGAGGACGGGGAGCGGCGCCGGGGGCGUAUAUACGGCCGGGGAGGGAGACGGGUGGACAGGGACGCGUGGAGGGGGGGACGUGUCGGAAGGGGCGAGGGUGACGGGCGCGCCGGACAGCGGAGGCUGCAUGCACGCCAACACGUUUUGGCUUAGCCUUUUGCGGGCCCAUGCCCCGUAUAUGGCUGCCGCGCCUUUUGUUUUGCCUAAUCAAAGCUUAUCGGCUACCAUGGCUUCCUCUUCUAGCACUUUCCCUCACAUUUCCGUAAAAUUCCCCGCGUAAUUUCUUGCCAACAAUAUAAUUUUUCGCAUUGAGCAGGGAAGGUUCCUUCCGAUAAUUAAUAGCAGCACAAUUUUUGCAAUAAAAAGAUGUUGGAUGUUGUUUUAUUUGUUUAUAAAUGCGAAGGGAGUCAGAAAAACGAUGUCCCAAUGCCACUAUGUAGGGAGUUCACCUCGGCCACUCUUGUUAUGUUUGCAUUUGGACCUAGCGACAAAUCCUUAUGUCUUAGGUCUUGUAGAUUUGUUUGCAUGCUUAUUUGCUGGCCUUUUUCGCACAGACUUGUUAUGGUGAUUUGUGAGUGACGGUCUGCUUACAUUGCCCAUCAUCCAUGGUGGUGGUGGUCUCUUUGAACGAAUUCACCGCUUGAAUGUUAAUGGAUGCCAUUAGUUAUCAUAUUCUCAUUGGUGGAAAUACAUUUAUUGCGUGAAUCAUCUUCGUUUAUCACAAUAUGCUAAAAGACGUGUCAGUACCAUCACUUGCCAUCUCCACAAGCUACCACAACGAGUUUCACGCGGAUAAUGGGAAGAUCCCCACUAGGUUCUUGACACAAUGGUGUGUGAUAAUGUACAAUGUUUCUUUGUCGAGAGGUAGUAAAGUGAUCACAAGCUAUACAACACAUUCAUGUCACCACAGACCCGUGAACUUUCGUGUCCCGGAUGCAUGUUAUGAAUAGAGUGGGACUUAAGAGGUUCCCUUAAUACGGCCGCCUAAAUUGUCGUAUUCAAUUUUUGCUUUAUCUUAGCCUUUUGCGUGCACAUGCCCCAUAUAUGGAGCGGCUUUUGUUUGGCCCAAAUCAAUGCCUUAUCAGCAACCACGCUCUUACGACUACCCCGUACGCGACACGACAUCUCCCUCUUCAUCUCUUCCGUUGCCAUGUUCCUCCGCAUUUCCGUCAUCUUGCCAACGAUGUUAAUUGGCAUUGAGUAGGGCAGGUUCCUACUAAUAAUUAAUAGCACAUUUAGUGAAAUAAAAAAAUGAUUGUUGGAUGUUAUUUUAUUUGUUUACAUGCAAAUGGAGUCCGAAAACCGAUGGGUCAUUAUAAGGGCAGUCCCAAUGCCACUCGCCAUAGCGGGUCCACGUUGGCCACUCUUGCUAUAUUUAUAUUCAGGUUUAGCAUCGAAUGUUUAUGUUUAGUCGCAUAGAUUUAUUUUCCUGUCCAUUUAGUGGCUUUCCGCUUAGCCCACAUAGACUCUCUAUGAUGAGUAGCGGCCCUCCAACUUACAGCGUUUCUAAUACUUACUUUUUGUUUAAUUUUCAAUGAAGUAUUGCAUACUAAAUUUGCUUCGUCGAAGCUUAUUUACAUAGCCAUGGCGUGAAUCCGCACGUGGUCGUUACUCACACCUGUGGAGUCCAGGGAGCUUUUGGUUACUGGGUGCAACCGUUGGGAGAUGGCAGCACAGGUUAUCUUCAACAGAUUUAGAUGGCGGCUAACUAAUAGGCUAGGUGUUUAGUCAUCGUAGCCUGUUAUUUUUUCCGCCGGAUGUGGCUCUUUUUUAGCCUUUUGUAGGGCUCUAUUUCUAAGUUCAUGUUUCGUUUUGCACUUUUGUUGGACAUGCUUUGAUUAAUAAUAUGGCUGCAUGCAUCCUCCGGAUGCAGAGGCCGGGGUAUCCUCCUUUUCAAAAAAAAAAACUAAAUUUGCUUCAAUUCAAAGUUUGAGAGUGAAAAUUGUUCCAAUCUUUUUGUACCUAUCGUAAUCACAUCUACUUUAGCAAACAUAACGGGAGGGGGCAUGGACGCUUGAGGGGAAGACGUGUCGAAAGCAGCGAGGGUGACGGGUGCGCCACAUCGGGGAGUUGCAUGCGC